UACGGGGGGAGCAAGCGUUGUUCGGAUUUACUGGGCGUAAAGGGCGCGUAGGCGGCCACCGCAAGUCAGUUGUGAAAUCUCUGGGCUUAACCCAGAACGGUCAGCUGAUACUGCGGGGCUAGAGUGCAGAAGGGGCAAUCGGAAUUCUUGGUGUAGCGGUGAAAUGCGUAGAUAUCAAGAGGAACACCUGAGGUGAAGACGGGUUGCUAGGCUGACACUGACGCUGAGGCGCGAAAGCCAGGGGAGCAAACGGG
rnacentral:rRNA from 1 species